CCGAACCGACUAAUGUUGAAAAAUUAGCGGAUGACCUGUGGCUGGGGGUGAAAGGCCAAUCAAACCGGGAGAUAGCUGGUUCUCCCCGAAAGCUAUUUAGGUAGCGCCUCGUGAAUUCAUCUCCGGGGGUAGAGCACUGUUUCGGCUAGGGGGCCAUCCCGGCUUACCAACCCGAUGCAAACUGCGAAUACCGGAGAAUGUUAUCACGGGAGACACACGGCGGGUGCUAACGUCCGUCGUGAAGAGGGAAACAACCCAGACCGCCAGCUAAGGUCCCAAAGUCAUGGUUAAGUGGGAAACGAUGUGGGAAGGCCCAGACAGCCAGGAUGUUGGCUUAGAAGCAGCCAUCAUUUAAAGAAAGCGUAAUAGCUCACUGGUCGAGUCGGCCUGCGCGGAAGAUGUAACGGGGCUAAACCAUGCACCGAAGCUGCGGCAGCGACACUGUGUGUUGUUGGGUA
rnacentral:rRNA from 3 species